GCAUAUCAAUAAGCGGAGGAAAAGAAACCAACAGGGAUUGCCCCAGUAACGGCGAAGUGAAGCGGCAAGAAGCUCAAAUUUGAAAGCUGGCUCCUUCGGGGUCCGCAUUGUAAUUUGCAGAGGAUGUUUCGGGAGUGGCCCCCAUCUAAGUGUCCUGGAACGGACCGUCAUAGAGGGUGAGAAUCCCGUAUGGGAUGGGGUGCCCACGCCCGUGUGAAACUCCUUCGACGAGUCGAGUUGUUUGGGAAUGCAGCUCUAAAUGGGUGGUAAAUUUCAUCUAAAGCUAAAUAUUGGCCGGAGACCGAUAGCGCACAAGUAGAGUGAUCGAAAGAUGAAAAGCACUUUGAAAAGAGAGUUAAAAAGCACGUGAAAUUGUUGAAAGGGAAGCGUUUGCGAUCAGACUCGCCGACGGGGUUCAGCCUGCCUUCGGGCAGGUGUACUUCCCCGCCGGCGGGCCAGCGUCGGUUUGGGUGGCCGGUCAAAGGCCCUAGGAAUGUAACGCCUCUCGGGGCGUCUUAUAGCCUAGGGUGUCAUGCGGCCUACCCGGACCGAGGAACGCGCUUCGGCUCGGACGCUGGCAUAAUGGUCGUAAACGACCCGUCUUGAAACACGGACCAAGGAGUCUAACAUCUAUGCGAGUGUUCGGGUGUCAAACCCGUGCGCGAAGUGAAAGCGAACGGAGGUGGGAACCCUUUGGGUGCACCAUCGACCGAUCCUGAUGUCUUCGGAUGGAUUUGAGUAAGAGCAUAGCUGUUGGGACCCGAAAGAUGGUGAACUAUGCCUGAAUAGGGCGAAGCCAGAGGAARCUMUGGUGGAGGCUCGCAGCGGUUCUGACGUGCAAAUCGAUCGUCAAAUUUGGGUAUAGGGGCGAAAGACUAAUCGAACCAUCUAGUAGCUGGUUCCUGCCGAA
rnacentral:rRNA from 1 species